CGCUGGCGGCGCGCCUAACACAUGCAAGUCNAGCGAGAACCANGGCUUCGGCCCUGGGGACAGCGGCGAACGGGUGAGUAACACGUGGAUAACCUGCCCUCGGCACCGGAAUAGCCCGGGGAAACCCGGAUUAAUGCCGGAUAGCCCCACAUCCCUGCGGGGAACGUGGGAAAAGGUAGCUUCGGCCUCUGGCCGAGGAUGGGUCCGCGGUGGAUUAGCUUGUUGGCGGGGUAACGGCCCACCAAGGCGACGAUCCAUAGCUGGUCUGAGAGGACGAUCAGCCACACUGGGACUGAGACACGGCCCAGACUCCUACGGGAGGCAGCAGUGGGGAAUCUUGCGCAAUGGGCGAAAGCCUGACGCAGCGACGCCGCGUGCGGGAAGAAGGCCUUCGGGUUGUAAACCGCUUCCAGGAGGGACGAAGCCACUCGGGUUAAUAGCCCAGAGGGUGACGGUACCUCCAGAAGAAGCCCCGGCUAACUACGUGCCAGCAGCCGCAGUAAUACGUAGGGGGCAAGCGUUGUCCGGAUUCAUUGGGCGUAAAGAGCGUGUAGGCGGCCAGGUAGGUUGGUUGUGAAAACUGGAGGCUCAACCUUCAGAGGUCGACCGAAACCAUCUGGCUAGAGU
rnacentral:rRNA from 1 species